CGUUGUUGCAAGUUUCAACGAAGUGGGCAACGUGCUGUUUCGGGUUUCCCUUUCCAUCAAAUUGCAUGAACUUUGGUGGUUGAUAACCCCUCGGCAUCCUUAAGGCGUCGAUCUUCUUUGAAUACGACUUUGAGUACAACCCGGAGGUAUGUGAGCUCCCUUCGUACUGUGACUUGAUGGUGUUGGUGAUCAUCUCCUGCAGUUGCUGGAUAGAAAGAGAUCCCAUGAGUGCCGCUGCUUGGUCUGGCUUCGGCUUCGCAUCGUUUUUCUCCACCUGAGGCUCCUCUUCUUCGUCAUCUCCUCUUUAGUGGAUCAUUCUCUGGGUCGGGUUUAUCGCCGUCCUGCGCCUCUAGUCGAUUAACGAGUGCUGCAAUUUGCAAGUCUUUUUCUUCCACAGUUCGGGUUAGCCUUGCGAUCGCUUCAUUCAUUU
rnacentral:lncRNA from 1 species